rnacentral:lncRNA from 1 species
GAGAUGGGGGGGGUCUCACUACGUUGCCCAGGUUGGUCUCAAACUCCUGGACUCAAGCGAUCCUCCUGCCUUGGCUUCCCAAAGUGCUGGAACUACAAGCUUGAGCCACCGCACCUGGCCAAAAUGGGAUCUUUUACAGCAGCACAUUGGUCUGAUGACUGUUGAGACUUUGAUUAAAAAGGCUGAGAGGAAGCUGAGGGGAACCUAUGGCUGACACCACAGGGACGGGGAGAAGGAGUCAGAGGGAGAGGUCUGCCAUGUGUUUGUCCCCCAACCCAGGCCCGCAUGCUUCCUGAAGGGGGACACUCUUGUGCCUCUGUGAGGCCCGUUUUACAGAUGAGAAAACUGAGGACAGGGGAAAGUGUCCCCCCAGGAUCACACGUGACUGGGAGGAUGCAGCAGCUUGGAGCCCCGCCGUCCUCCAUCUCCACACCCCUUCUGUGGAUCCCGAGGGUGCAGCCAGCCACGCUGUGAAGGUCUCUGACGCCCAUGGAGUCCUGGAUGCUCAGCAGGGAAACUGAGGCAAGUUGCCGGUUGUAAGGACAGACAGCACAGGUCUCUGGGGCUUCCAGAGUCCCCGGUGAUUCUGCCUCCAACACCACCCUCCCCACUUCCCUAGUUCCAGCCCGAGCCUUGAGGGGGCACCCAGGACAAAGGAGCGGUGAAGGCUGGGGGCGGAAGGACUGGAGUUCCCCUUCGGAACUCAUGGCGAGGCCGGGGCGGGGGCUUGACUCCUCUGAACGUCAGUCUCCUCCUCUGUGGAAAAGGGGAAUCAGGUUGUACUAAGGAUUGGAAAAAACAUGAACUGUAGAGUGCUGACCCCAAGGAAGCGCCUAAGGGAUGUUUGCUGAGGGAGGAAACAGGUCCCUGGACGGACGGACAGACAGACGAGCGUGGCUGAGUGGAUGAAGGAAUGACUGCGCCCCGCCCUGACCAGCCAGCCUGGCAGAGAGGACCCCUGCUGGUGACUCAAAUCCAAGACACGCAGUCCCCAGAGUGUGUGGUCCCCCCCACCCCCGUCCCAGGGGACGCCUCCACCUAGGCAGUGGGGCCAUUGUCUAAGAAUGGCCACGUGUGUCCCCGGGCCUGGAUCUGGACCAUGGUGGGCCACUGGCCACCAUCCCCGCCCUUCCGAGAGGGCAACUGCCCCCUAAUGUCCCUCGCCAUCUUUUACGACCCAAGCAGUAUGCACAGCCCUACUUCAUGAAAACAAAACGAGCUGCAUCAACAGCAGAGAGCAGACUUUCCAGGCCACCAGUUCUGGGGACCAAUUCAAGGGAGAAAGAAGGCCUGGCCUCCAAGCCCGCCUUGUACCCUCGCUGGGGGAUCCUGGGACCGCUCCCUCUUGGGAAGCAGAGACCCAAACCCACAACAAACUUAGGCUGAGUGAUGGAGCAGAGGCUGCCACAGCUGAGCCCAGGUUCUGUCUCUGCCCUGGGGGUCCUGACCCAUCGCCACCCCACUAAGGCACUCGUACUGGGCUCUUUGAGGACAUUCUCCCUCUCCAACCUCGGGACAACCUACCAGGUGUGGAUCAUGACCCCUGCCUCACAGACAGGGGAGGAAAGCGAGGCUGGGAGCAGGCAGGAAGCAGCUCGUCCAAGACCCUGUAGGCCCUGGUCUGUCUGAUUCUGCUCCCUGGUCACAGAUGUCCUGGGGCUGGUGUCCAGCGCCCCCUGCACUCUGGGAUGUAGGAAGUCAGCCUCCUUCCUCCCUCCUCCAGACCCCUCAGCUGAGACUGCCAGGGUCUCAAGCAGAGAUGAGACCCAUCCCUGUCCCCUCUCAGGUCACCGGGCUCAGCCAGGCUCAGCUGGAGCUGAAGGUUAUUGCAAACUGCCAGGGCCCUGCUCACCUCGUUAAGUCCAGGGAGCAGGGUCAGCGGCUUUUACAAGCCCCAUAAAGCAUUGCUCGUGGCCACUACAGCACACAGCUGGUCCUGGCGACCAGUCCCUCCCUGGGCCCAGGACAGGAGGGGGACAAGUUUCUUCCUUAAGGAACUCAUCUCCCAGAUUCAUAAAAUCACCGGAAGUGUCAUGGGUGGUCUGUGCCCCAACAGAUAAUUACAGUGUGACACCCCUGCCCUAGAGGCUGGUGUCGGGGAGGUAGAUUCCCCUCCACAGAGGCCCUGCAGCUUGUCCUGCCUUGCUGGGCCAGCACUGUGUUAAUAAAUGCUUUGAGCCUA